GGUUAUUGCCGGGGCUUGGUGCCUGCACCACAAAUCCACUGCUCCUGGAGACCAUUUUUUCCCUUUUGUUGCCCUUGUUGUUUUAUCAUUGUUGUGGUUAUCACUACCGUUGUUGUCAUUGCUGUUGUUGGAUAGGACAGAGAGAAAUGGAGAGAGGAGGGGAAGACAGAGAGGGGGAGAGAAAGACAGACACCUGCAGACCUGCUUCACCGCCUGUGAAGCGACUCCCCUGCAGGUGGGGAGCCGGGGGCUCGAACCAGGAUCUUUACACUGGUCUUUGCGCCACCUGCGCUUAACCCACUGCGUUACUGCCUGACUCCCAAAGUGUUGGACUCUUAAGUAUAAGGUCCCAAAUUCAAUCCCUGGCAUCACAUGUGCCAGAGAGAUACUCUGGUUCUCUCUCUAGCUCAUUAGUAAAUGAAUCUUUCAAAAAGAUAAAA